rnacentral:lncRNA from 1 species
CGUGUUAUAAAGAGGUAUAAGUCUUCAACAGUGGAAAUAUGUGAAUUGCUAAGUUCUUUGGCUGCUAUAUACAUUUGCUUUAACUUUUCAACUAAAUGGGACUGUUCUCUCAAGUACCUUUGAUGGUCUUUAGAACAUUUCUGAUGAAUGUCUCCUGUACUAAAUGAUGACGCAAAUCAUUGAUAUAUUCCUUGUCAAAGAGACGCUGAACAAAAGUUUGGGCUAGUGACGAAACAUUCAAAUCUUGCUCUGGAAACUAUUAGCAGCUUUUUACAUUGCACAUAAUUCUUGGAUAUGUAUUGGUGCCAAGAUUAUUUAUGUUACUCAUUAUGCCGGGAAACAUUAAUGAUGGAUUUGGAAAAGGCAAUUCUGAAUAUAUUUGGAAAUGUGUUUCUUUUAACAAACAUUACGUGGUGUGAAUUCCAUAUGUCCAAAAAUAUAUACAGGCACAUAGUGAACCUAGCUUUAAAACUAAGAUACACCAACGAUGCCAAUUUUAAUUUAAGAAUUAAAUGUUUUACGGUGUUAACAUUUUUGCCGAUUACAGAUGUUAUCAAUGGCUUUGUUGGGAUUUGUCGUGAUUUAGACCAUGAGCUGGUUUCUUAUUUCGAAACACAUUACAUUGGGUGUAUGAGAGGCCAAGGGAAGGAAGAAGGAGAGUGACGCCCACAUUCCCAUUCAAACUGUGGAAUGUUUGCUGGAGAACAAUUAAUAAUUAAAUAAGAACUAAUUACAGUGUGAUAGGAUUCCAUAAUACCCUUCAAAGCUCUAUUACGAAUAAACAUCCAAAUCUUUAGAAAUUGAUAGAUUUUAAAAAAAUAGAAAAAGGUUUAGCAUGGAAAAAAAAUUUGAUUUACAUUUGAAGGCAAGUCUUCCUCUUGACAAACUAAAUCUUAUACGAAUUUUCGAGCGCAAGUUGUCCCAGUACAAACUUUCCCUGCCUUGACACCAUUCAUUACAUGGACGUCUCGAUCCCCUGGACAACAGACAAGUCACGGUUUGAUGCAUUAAAUUGCGUUUCCGUGACUCAUGGAGGGUGCCUGUGAGUCUAUGCCCCUUGGGAAUUUGAAAAUGGAAAAGAAAAAACAGACAAGAAAACGUGCGCUUCAAGGGUGUAGAAGACAAUUAAUAAGAAUUUCUGGCGCUUGUUUCGUGGUGGAGGCGGAAGCGGAGGAGAAAAGAGGUAGAUCGGAAGGUUUGGGCACACUGAAGGCACAUCAUCCUUAUUCAGUCUCAUGAAAAGUUAUAUUCUUAUAAAAGUUUCAGAUUAGGUGUUCCUAAUUAUCUUUCUUCCUUCAUAUGAAAUAAAAAUCAGUGUAAAGAUAAAAAAACACGGAAAGAAAUAGAAUGGCUUAAUUACUUCAGGUGGAUAUCUGUCUUAUUAAUCAAGAGCUUGCUUGGUUAAUACCAGAACACAGUUUAUUAUGUAUACAAUAGAUGGAAAGAACUACAUGAAUAUAAGGAAAGUUUACAAGGCAAGCAGUGAUAAGAAAGGGAUCCUUAUGUUUGUUUAUUAACUAAAAAAAUCCAUCUGGCCUAAUUAUUGAACCUUAUCAUUAUUUUGCCCAAAAAAUACAAUAAAAUCCAUUUCA